rnacentral:rRNA from 1 species
GACGAACGCUGGCGGCGUGCUUAACACAUGCAAGUCGAACGGAAAGGCCCUGCUUUUGUGGGGUGCUCGAGUGGCGAACGGGUGAGUAACACGUGAGUAACCUGCCCUUGACUUUGGGAUAACUUCAGGAAACUGGGGCUAAUACCGGAUAGGAGCUCCUGCUGCAUGGUGGGGGUUGGAAAGUUUCGGCGGUUGGGGAUGGACUCGCGGCUUAUCAGCUUGUUGGUGGGGUAGAGGCUUACCAAGGCUUUGACGGGUAGCCGGCCUGAGAGGGUGACCGGCCACAUUGGGACUGAGAUACGGCCCAGACUCCUACGGGAGGCAGCAGUGGGGAAUAUUGCACAAUGGGCGGAAGCCUGAUGCAGCAACGCCGCGUGCGGGAUGACGGCCUUCGGGUUGUAAACCGCUUUCGCUUGUGACGAAGCGUGAGUGACGGUAAUGGGUAAAGAAGCACCGGCUAACUACGUG